rnacentral:rRNA from 1 species
GACGAACGCUGGCGGCGUGCUUAACACAUGCAAGUCGAACGGAAAGGCCCUGCUUUUGUGGGGUGCUCGAGUGGCGAACGGGUGAGUAACACGUGAGUAACCUGCCCUUGACUUUGGGAUAACUUCAGGAAACUGGGGCUAAUACCGGAUAGGAGCUCCUGCUGCAUGGUGGGGGUUGGAAAGUUUCGGCGGUUGGGGAUGGACUCGAGGCUUAUCAGCUUGUUUGUGGGGUAGUGGCUUACCAAGGCUUUGACGGGUAGCCGGCAUGAGAGGGUGACCGGCCACAUUGGGACUGAGAUACGGCCCAGACUCCUACGGGAGGCAGCAGUGGGGAAUAUUGCACAAUGGGCGGAAGCCUGAUGCAGCAACGCCGCGUGCGGGAUGACGGCCUUCGGGUUGUAAACCGCUUUCGCCUGUGACGAAGCGUGAGUGACGGUAAUGGGUAAAGAAGCACCGGCUAACUACGUG